UACGUAGGGUGCAAGCGUUAAUCGGAAUUACUGGGCGUAAAGCGUGCGCAGGCGGUUUUGUAAGUCUGUCGUGAAAUCCCCGGGCUUAACCUGGGAAUGGCGAUGGAGGCUGCAAGGCUAGAGUUUGGCAGAGGGGGGUAGAAUUCCACGUGUAGCAGUGAAAUGCGUAGAUAUGUGGAGGAAUACCGAUGGCGAAGGCAGCCCCCUGGGAUAACACUGACGCUCAUGCACGAAAGCGUGGGGAGCAAACAGG
rnacentral:rRNA from 1 species